rnacentral:tRNA from 2 species
GGGCCGGUAGAUCAGCCCGGUAGAUCGCCUCCUUGGCAUGGAGGAGGUCGCGAGUUCGAAUCUCGCCCGGUCCACCA